UGCCCGUCUAGCUCCGCCAUCUAGGAACGCCUGAGAAGAAAACUACAGCUAGCCUUCUGGUAUGCUUGUCUGCCAGGUUGCUAUGAGUUUUCAUAGUUAAUUCUGCAGCUUUUCAUUUAGAAAAUAUUUUGUUCAACUAUCCAUAUCAUCUACACCAUAUUUUGGUCCUUCAUCCCUGAAAGUACUUUUGCUUUAAAAAAGUGUGCUUGGAGCAUAGUAGUAUGUUGUAUCGUUGUUGGAUGUUGUAUAAUUCUGCAUCUUUGGAAAUGAUACGAGUGACAACAUUUUGAAAAUUCUAAGCAUACACACAUUUAGUUUAGAUAACAUAUUUUUAUCGUUAGUAGCAGUAGCUUGGAAGCUUGGAAAUAUUUUUUGGGCAAAGGCUAUAUUCAGAAGUAUGCUUGAGUAGUACAGUAGCAAACCCACUAGUAUGUACACACUUCUCUAUACCAAAUUCAGUUAAUUUUGAGAGACUUUUAUCAAGUGUUGAUUAGCCAUAACAAAAAAACACAAUGUAUGCUUACUUCAAAAUUUGGACUGGCCAACUAGUUUGUGCUCAUCUGGGUUAUGCUUGCUUUCAACUUGAGAGCAAUAACAGGGAUAUCCCUCUGUAUGCUUGCCUGUGAGGUUGCAACCAAUUUUUUUAGUUGAUUAUGUAAUAUUUAUUUAGGGCGGCGAGGUGCAAUGCACGGCGAGGUCAGUGGCAGGCAAGUGCGGCCCGUGAGGGGUGGCGCCCCGCGCUGGAUGCGUGAGCAAGCGGUAAGCCGGUGAAGCGCCAUUGACGGUGUGGUGUGUGGAGGAGCUGACUCGGUUGGAUCGCAGCCGCGCGUAUGCACUGGAUCGAACGGCUGCGCAGGGACCGGCCCAAUUUGGGCUGGUCGACCGGCGCCUAUCACCCCCCAAUUAUUUUUGUUCAAUGUUUGUACUGCAAACUAUAGUGCAGAAUCUUAGUUUAGUAUGUAUUGAUACUUUCCUGUACCAGAUUCAGUUAAUUUAGACUUUAUUCGGUGUUGAUUAGCCAUAACAAGAAAACAUAAUGUUUGCUUACUUCAAAAUUUUGACUGGACAACUAGUUUAUGCUCAUCUUGGGAUAUGUUUGCUUUCAACGUGAGAGCAAUAACAGGGAUAUCUCUCUUAUCCAUGCAUACAAAAAUUAAUCACUGGACAAGUUUGCUAUAGUUUGCUUGUACUAGAUUUUCGAGCAGUUUUGUAUUGUGAAAUUUCAUCCUCUUGUCGGAUAUUGUACAUGAGAACAAACUAAUCUCAGCUACCUAUUGAAGUACCUGCAUGUGAAGUGGUUGGAGGCACAAGACUUCGUCACACUUGCAAUAUGUGCCACUUCACUGAUUUCGCUUUAGUGAAACAAUUGUAUUAGCUCUUUGGUCUUUCUCAUUCGGCUUUUAUGACACUACAAUUGUAAAAAGACAACUUUUUUACCUUUUGUAUGUAGAAAAGAAGACACUCUUUCUGUGUGUAUGUAGAAAAUAAGACAUUUUUUCUGUGUAUUUUUAAUUUCCAAAAGGGGCACUUGCUCUAGAAUAAACGGACACAGGAAUAGUGUGAGAAGUGAGUCCAGCGAGAAGAAAAGAAGACCUGGAAUUCAUCAAAAGACGCACACAAGUGCAUCAUUUGUAAGGGAGUGGUGUUCCAUGAUGCAAGGACAUGCUCUAAGAAACAAAUGACACAACAGUAAAGGUUUGUGCUUCUUGCUUUGAAGACUACCUGUUCUUUUUGUCUUGUUAUUACUGCACAAUACUAUAUGUUUUUAGACGAGUCAUAUUUGUUUGGUGUGAACCAAUCAAGCUUAAAUAAGAGUGAACUAAUCGAGCCAUGACCUAGUGGAGUAUCCAAUUUUUUUAUUAAACUCUUUCCAAUAAAAAGUAUUAUAACAGAAGAUGUUAUGUCGACGUACAUAUAUUGUUCCUGCUUCACAAUGUGAACAAUUGAAAUUGUUGCAUGUCCAUUAUUAGGGUAUCUUUUUGGUUUACUGGUCUGAACUUGUAGUGCUGCUGUCAGCAAAUAUGUGCGCAUUCAGUCCAUGUUAGGGCACAAGAUAUAAUUAGCAGGAAAUGUCUGUUGGGGGGAGCAAACGGCUGAUUGUUUUGACCUACGUGGGCUUUAUUUGGGAUAGACUUUCGGUUGCUAACAAGCCAAUGAUCCAUACAACAGUACAACCGGUCAUAAGCUAUUUGAGUUAAGAAAGUCUUAGUGGGAUGAUGAGCUGCAAAAAUUGAUACAAGUGAUUCUUCAUUGUCAAGCUGUGAAUAUAUUUGCCGUACAAUAUUCUUUUCCUUGUCUCUUCACUGGUCUGACAUGUGCCUUUGUGCUGCAGCAUCAAAUUUUUUACUUCUGUCAUCUACGAGUUAGCAAAAGUACUUGAAUUGCAUUCUUAAUUGUUCAAUACAUACGCGAUUAGGAUUAGAGAACAUAAUUUUCCUAUUUCUUUCCUUGUAAUGUAAACUAUUUUUUCCUUGUAUUUCUAGAUGCUCUCUCACAACCGGAAACAUCAGGACUACAGAUGGAUAGAAGAAGCUUUUAUCAAAAUCUUCCCUUUCUGACAAUUGAGAGAAUUUCUCUGCAAGAUAAAUUUAACUCUGUUCUUGAUCAUGCAUCUGUAUGUGUCUGUGCUCAACUGAAUUGGGUUUGCUUGGUGUGAUCUUUCCCAGAACAAGAAGCUUCAUGAGUAAGUAGUAGAACUGGAGGGAAAGGGUAGAGUUUUUCUGUUAUGUACCAUCAAGAUAUUAGUCUUUAAUACUGUCUUGCUGGCUAUGUACUAAAAAUGGUGCUACCAUGCCUCAUCAAGAUAUGUAUGCUUGUGAUAUGCUCAAUCUGGGAUGGUCCAGUCUGAUGUUUUGUUAUGCUUCAAAAGGUGACUGAAUCUGUGCCAUAAGCCGUCGUUGGACAAAAUGAAUGGAGAGGGAGAUAAAAUACAUGAGGGGGUUGCUG
rnacentral:lncRNA from 1 species